GAUGUGUGCAGUGGCAUGUAUCUAUAGUCCCAGAUACAUGGCAGACUGAGGCAGAAGUAUCAUUUGAGCCCAGGAGUUCUGGGCUAUAGUGUGCUCUGCCAAUCGGGUGUCACACUGAGUUUGACAUCCGUAUGGUCACCUCCCAGGAGCAGGCACCACCAGGUUGCCUAAGAAGGAAUGAACCUAUCCAGGUCAGAAACAGACCAGAUCAAAACUCCUGUACUCAUCAGUAGUGAGAUUAUGUCUGUAAACAGACAAUGCACUUCAAACUGGGCAAUAUAGUGAGACCUCAUCUCU
rnacentral:SRP_RNA from 1 species